rnacentral:rRNA from 1 species
AGCAGCCGCGGUAAUUCCAGCUCCAAUAGCGUAUAUUAAAGUUGUUGCAGUUAAAAAGCUCGUAGUUGAAUUUCGGGGUUAGUAGGCUGGUCGUGCCACAGGUAUGCACUGGUCUUACUGAUUCCUCCUUCCUGAUGAACCGUAAUGCCAUUAAUUUGGUGUUGCGGGGAGUCUGGACUGUUACUUUGAAAAAUUAGAGUGUUUAAAGCAGGCUAACGCUUGAAUACAUUAGCAUGGAAUAACGAAAUAGGACGUUCGAUCCUAUUUUGUUGGUUUCUAGGAUUGACGUAAUGAUUAAUAGGGAUAGUUGGGGGCAUUAGUAUUCAAUUGUCAGAGGUGAAAUUCUUGGAUUUAUUGAAGACUAACUACUGCGAAAGCAUUUGCCAAGGAUGUUUUCAUUAAUCAAGAACGAAAGUUAGGGGAUCGAAGACGAUCAGAUACCGUCGUAGU